ensembl:snRNA U6 U6 spliceosomal RNA
GUGCUCGCUUCGGCAGCACGUAUACUAAAAUUGUAACGAUGCAGAGAAGAUUAGCCCGGACCGGCCCCUGCACAAGGAUGACACGCAAAUCUGUGAAGCAUUCCAUAUUAAA